rnacentral:rRNA from 1 species
GACGAACGCUGGCGGCGUGCUUAACACACGCAAGUCGAACGGUAAGGCCCUUCGGGGUACACGAGUGGCGAACGGGUGAGUAACACGUGGGUGAUCUGCCCUGCACUUUGGGAUAAGCCUGGGAAACUGGGUCUAAUACCGGAUAGGACCACGGCCUGCAUGGGUUGUGGUGGAAAGCUUUUGCGGUGUGGGAUGGGCCCGCGGCCUAUCAGCUUGUUGGUGGGGUGAUGGCCUACCAAGGCGACGACGGGUAGCCGGCCUGAGAGGGUGUCCGGCCACACUGGGACUGAGAUACGGCCCAGACUCCUACGGGAGGCAGCAGUGGGGAAUAUUGCACAAUGGGCGCAAGCCUGAUGCAGCGACGCCGCGUGGGGGAUGACGGCCUUCGGGUUGUAAACCUCUUUCACCAGGGACGAAGCGCAAGUGACGGUACCUGGAGAAGAAGCACCGGCCAACUACGUGCCAGCCGCCGCCGUAA